rnacentral:rRNA from 1 species
ACGAACGCUGGCGGCGUGCCUAAUACAUGCAAGUUGAGCGCUGAAGGUUGGUACUUGUACCAACUGGAUGAGCAGCGAACGGGUGAGUAACGCGUGGGGAAUCUGCCUUUGAGCGGGGGACAACAUUUGGAAACGAAUGCUAAUACCGCAUAAAAACUUUAAACACAAGUUUUAAGUUUGAAAGAUGCAAUUGCAUCACUCAAAGAUGAUCCCGCGCUGUAUUAGCUAGUUGGUGAGGUAAAGGCUCACCAAGGCGAUGAUACAUAGCCGACCUGAGAGGGUGAUCGGCCACAUUGGGACUGAGACACGGCCCAAACUCCUACGGGAGGCAGCAGUAGGGAAUCUUCGGCAAUGGACGAAAGUCUGACCGAGCAACGCCGCGUGAGUGAAGAAGGUUUUCGGAUCGUAAAACUCUGUUGGUAGAGAAGAACGUUGGUGAGAGUGGAAAGCUCAUCAAGUGACGGUAACUACCCAGAAAGGGACGGCUAACUACGUG